CCCUCGGUAGCUCAGUUGGAAGAGCGUGGGACUGUAAAUCCCAAGGCCACUGGUUCGAUCCCGGUCUGAGGGA
rnacentral:tRNA from 1 species